rnacentral:rRNA from 1 species
GACGAACGCUGGCGGCGUGCUUAACACAUGCAAGUCGAACGGUGAAGCGCCUUCCUUUUUGGUGGGUGUGGAUGAGUGGCGAACGGGUGAGUAACACGUGAGUAACCUGCCCCCUUCUUCUGGAUAACCGCAUGAAAGUGUGGCUAAUACGGGAUAUUCUGGGUCUGUCGCAUGAUGGGUCUGGGAAAGAUAUUGUUUCGGUGGGUGAUGGGCUCGCGGCCUAUCAGCUUGUUGGUGGGGUGAUGGCCUACCAAGGCGGUGACGGGUAGCCGGCCUGAGAGGGUGGACGGUCACACUGGGACUGAGACACGGCCCAGACUCCUACGGGAGGCAGCAGUGGGGAAUAUUGAACAAUGGGCGCAAGCCUGAUGCAGCGACGCCGCGUGAGGGAUGGAGGCCUUCGGGUUGUGAACCUCUUUCGCCAGUGAAGCAGGCCUGCCUCGUUUGUGGGUGGGUUGACGGUAGCUGGAUAAGAAGCGCCGGCUAACUACGUG